UACGUAGGGGGCAAGCGUUGUCCGGAUUUAUUGGGCGUAAAGAGCGUGUAGGCGGCUAGGUAGGUGGGUUGUGAAAACUGGAGGCUCAACCUUCAGACGUCGACCCAAACCCCCUGGCUAGAGUCCGGAAGAGGAAAGUGGAAUUCCUGGUGUAGAGGUGAAAUUCGUAGAUAUCAGGAGGAACACCGGUGGCGAAGGCGGCUUUCUGGACGACAACUGACGCUGAGACGCGAAAGCGUGGGGAGCAAACAGG
rnacentral:rRNA from 1 species